rnacentral:rRNA from 1 species
UACUCCCUACGGGAGGCGGUAGUGGGGAAUAUUGCACAAUGGGGGAAACCCUGAUGCAGCGACGCCGCGUGAGUGAAGAAGUAUUUCGGUAUGUAGAGCUCUAUCAGCAGGGAAGAAAAUGACGGUACCUGACUAAGAAGCCCCGGCUAACUACGUGCCAGCAGCCGCGGUAAUACGGAGGGGGCAAGCGUUAUCCGGAUUUACUGGGUGUAAAGGGAGCGUAGACGGCGCGGCAAGUCUGAAGUGAAAGGCAGGGGCUUAACCCCUGAACUGCUUUGGAAACUGCCAUGCUAGAGUGCUGGAGG